GGAAUGAUGAACAAUAUUUACAUCAAUGAUCUAGACUGAUUAGAUCCAUCCUCUAAGAAGUUCUGACCCA